rnacentral:tRNA from 1 species
GGGGAUAUAGCUCAACGGUAUAGCACUUGCUUGGCAAGCAGGAGGUCAUGAAUUUGAUCCCCA